rnacentral:rRNA from 1 species
UACGUAGGCAGCGAGCGUUGUCCGGAUUUAUUGGGCGUAAAGAGCUCGUAGGCGGCUCGGUAAGUCGGGUGUGAAAACUCUAGGCUCAACCUAGAGACGCCACCUGAUACUGCUGUGGCUAGAGUCCGGUAGGGGAGCAUGGAAUUCCUGGUGUAGCGGUGAAAUGCGCAGAUAUCAGGAGGAACACCAGUGGCGAAGGCGGUGCUCUGGGCCGGUACUGACGCUGAGGAGCGAAAGCGUGGGGAGCAAACAGG